rnacentral:rRNA from 1 species
GAUGAACGCUGGCGGCGUGCUUAACACAUGCAAGUCGAACGGAAAGGCCUCUGCUUGCAGGGGUACUCGAGUGGCGAACGGGUGAGUAACACGUGGGUGAUCUGCCCUGCACUUCGGGAAAGGCCGGGGAAACGGGGCCAAAAACGGGAUAGGAAAAGGGUUGGGAGGCGGUGGGGGAAGGUUUUUCGGGGGGGGAUGAGCUCGCGGCCUAUCGGCUGGUUGGUGGGGUAAGGGCCUACCAAGGCGUCGACGGGUAGCCGGCCUGAGAGGGUGUACGGCCACAUUGGGACUGAGAUACGGCCCAGACUCCUACGGGAGGCAGCAGUGGGGAAUAUUGCACAAUGGGCGCAAGCCUGAUGCAGCGACGCCGCGUGGGGGAUGACGGCCUUCGGGUUGUAAACUCCUUUCGCUAGGGACGAAGCGUUUUUGUGACGGUACCUGGAGAAGAAGCACCGGCUAACUACGUG